rnacentral:lncRNA from 1 species
UAUUCCUUGGGGCCCCCAGAAGGAAACAGCCCCACUGAUUGACUUUACUUUUUUCCCAUAGGCUCAUUUUGGACUUUGGGCCUCAAGAGCUGAAAAAGAACACAUUUCUGUUUGUUGAGCUGGAAGUUCGAACUACCAAUCACUGGUGAGGUUUUAUACCUUAUGGAAGAGAGCAAAGAGCAUAACACUGUCAACCAUCAGAAGUAAGAACUCACAGAUUGCAGCUCUGAGUCACCAAGGAGAACUCCACUCAAAAGACUUAUGGCACUUGCAACUUGGUUCUGUAACCUCCGAAUGGCCUAAAGUCUGGCACAAUGACAGCAAUCUCAGGUCCUUCCAAAGUACUGUGCUCCAUAGAACUAUUCCCUGGAAGAGAACAGUCAAGAAUCAAGGACCUGAUUCAGGAAAUAAGGUACACUGUCCAGAAGCAUUUAGUAACAGUGUGACUGUUCUGCUUUGCUCCUGGAUAAUUUAAUCAAGUGACAGAUAUGUCCAACAAGUUUCCAUUUAGUAUGUGGGGUGGCCAGGAAAAAAAAAAAGAUUAGAAGAAAAAGCCAUCCAGCAAUUUUGUUUGUCUCAGUCCACAGUUUAUAUGAUGAUAUCCAAUAUAGAAUUCUUUCUCUUCUGAUACAAUCAAUUACACUGACAACUUUUUUUCCUAAUCUCAGAUCUGUGUAUACCUGCACAUUUCAAUGUUUCCAGAAGACUCAUUAUAAUCAUCACUGAAUAUUUAUUGAGAACCCACUGGGCACAGAGAACUGUACUAGGCAUGUGAUCAAGAGAGAGCCUAUUUCCAGCCAAGUUCUUUUGUUUCCAUCCUGUUCUGGGAGUAAUAACAUACCUAAGGAAAGUGGAAUUCUGCACAUAAUCAAACUUAUUAUCUGAUUUGAUCAUUAUUUUGAUUGCUACUUAUGAUUUAUAAUAGAGGUCAUUAUUUUAUUACAUACUUUCUGUAUAUAAUUAAGUUACUUUAAAUGAAGACUUUCAUUCAGCUCUAGUUAGUAAGAAUAAUGUAUUUCUGAUUUUCUCAUCAGCAACUGAAGAAAAAUUGAGCCACACAAAAAAAGGUAUUAUACUACUGAAUAGGUUUUUUUUUCUUUCAAAAGCUUAGAAUUCAUUGUAUAUAUAAAUGGGAAGAUUGAUGGCAUUUAGUAUGAGAUAAAUUUCAUUGUUUCAAAAAAUUAUCAGAAGUAUGUCAAGAAAACGAAGUUCCUAGUGUUCCAUGUGGGGUUUGAAUUCUCUGAUCAAAUUACAAGUUUCAAGUUUUAACAGUAAAAAAGAUCACAGUGUCAUAGUUGCACAUAUAUUUUGUAAAAGACAAAGGGCUGAAUUGAUAAAGGAAAAAAGAAAAAUCAGUGCCUUCCAAAACAGAAUUUCAUGAUUUUCAUUGUUAGUGAGUUGUUUUAUGUGUCAGGUAAACUUUGAUCUUAAAAUAUCUUGCACAGGCAGGAUUUCCUCCAGAGACCAUUUUAUGUCUUGAUAUCCUCAUAAGAGAAGCAAGAAUAAAUAUUUUG